rnacentral:rRNA from 1 species
GGCCUUACGAGGCAUGUGCACGCCCUGCUCAUCCGCUCCUACACCUGUGCACUUACUGUGGGUUUACGAGUCGCGAAACAGGCCCGUUCAUUCGGGCUUGUGGAGCGCACUUGUUGCCUGCGUUUAUCACAAACUCUAUAAAGUAUUAGAAUGUGUAUUGCGAUGUAACGCAUCUAUAUACAACUUUCAGCAACGGAUCUCUUGGCUCUCGCAUCGAUGAAGAACGCAGCGAAAUGCGAUAAGUAAUGUGAAUUGCAGAAUUCAGUGAAUCAUCGAAUCUUUGAACGCACCUUGCGCUCCUUGGUAUUCCGAGGAGCAUGCCUGUUCGAGUGUCAUGAAAUCUUCAACUUUACGAGCUUCUUGCGAGGUUUGUAGGGUUGGACUUGGAGGCUUGUCGGUCUUUAAAGGUCGGCUCCUCUUAAAUGCAUUAGCUUGGUUCCUUGCGGAUCGGGUUGUCGGUGUGAUAAUGUCUACGCCGCGACCGUGAAGCGUUUGGCAAGCUUCUAACCGUCUCGGUAUAGAGACAAGUUUUAUGACCUCUGACCUCAAAUCAGGUAGGACUACCCGCUGAACUUAAGCAUAUC